GGAUUAGGCAUGCAAGUCGAACGCAGGACCGGCUUCGGUUGGUCUUGAGUGGCGAAAGGGUGAGUAAUGCAUAAACAAUCUGCCCCUGAGACUGGGAUAGCUACUGGAAACGGUAGGUAAUACCAGAUGGCCCCACGAUGUGGCAUCACGAUGUGGGUAAACGGUAGGGAUCUUCGGACCUUCUGCUCGGGGAGGAGUUUAUGUCCUAUUAGCUAGUUGGUGAGGUAAUGGCUCACCAAGGCUGUGAUGGGUAGCUGGUCUGAGAGGAUGGUCAGCCACACUGGGACUGAGACACUGCCCAGACUCUUACGGGAGGCUGCAGUCGAGAAUCUUCCGCAAUGGGCGAAAGCCUGACGGAGCGACGCCGCGUGGAGGAUCGAAGGCCUUCGGGUUGUAAACUCCUUUCAAGCGGGGACGAAUAACUGUGCGUUAAUAGCGUACGGCGUGACAUAACCCGCAGAAGAAGCUCCGGCUAACCCUGUGCCAGCAGCCGCGGUAAUACAGGGGGAGCGAACGUUACUCGGAAUCACUGGGCAUAAAGGGCGCGUAGGCGGUUCUGUAAGUCGGAUGUGAAAGACCUUGGCUCAACCAAGGAAAGGCAUCCGAUACUGCGGAGCUUGAGGCCAAGAGGGGCAAGCGGAACUCCUGGUGGAGCGGUGAAAUGCGUAGAUAUCAGGAGGAACACCGGUGGCGAAGGCGGCUUGCUGGAUUGGUUCUGACGCUGAGGCGCGAAAGCUAGGGGAGCAAACGGGAUUAGAUACCCCGGUAGUCCUAGCCGUAAACGAUGGGCACUAAGUAGAGGGGUUUU
rnacentral:rRNA from 1 species